rnacentral:lncRNA from 1 species
UUAAAAUCUAUGUUGAACUUCAUAUUGCUAGCUUCUUAAAUGGGCACACUUUAGAUAGUAAUGGAAAAUUCUCUGGGUAAAAAACUUUUUUGUGCGUUUAUGAUAGGAAGCAGGAAAGGGCAACAGUGUUCUGACCUAUUUUUGAAAUAAAGCUUUGCUCUAUAAAAAAAAACUUGCUGAUUCAUUCUAUCUGUCACUUAGCCAAGACUAAUUAUUGUCUUCUGUGUGCCAAGAACUACAGAGAAUCCACAGAGAUGAGCAAGAAAUGGUUCUUCUUUAAUAGGAGUUUAUUUCCUAGUAAGUAGAAUCACAAAGGAAGUAAAUGUGACAAAGUAUUCUAGAUGUUACAGUAGAAAUAUAAACUAAGAAGGUAUGGGUAUGGUUAAUUUCUACCCCAAAGUCAAGCUUCUUGCAAAAGCAAUGGUAGUGGAUAACUAUGAUAAUGAACACAUUUUCACCAAGAAGAUUACUACUUCUGUCUUAAUAAAGAUGUCAUAUUAUUGGAUCCCUGAUAACUGGAUUCCUGCAUUAUCAACUCUAACAGGAGCUCUUUUUGUGCUGUGCCUCUAUGCCGUUGCAUGGUGCCUCUUCAAAGAUGACAGGAAUACAGUAACUAUUUGACAAUAAGACAGGAGAAGUCAAGAUGUUGAACAAUUAAGAGAAGAAUAUGAUGCCAAUGGAAGACAUUUGACUUUAACCAGCAUAAAGGUCACCAUAUCUUCAUGUCACUUGCUUUAUUUGAAAAGGCCUUUUAAAAUCACAGCUUUUAACAAUAAAACUAUAUCAGUUUUUUUUUUUACAUAGCUGAAUAUUUUUGUGUAAUAUGUCACAUAUUUUGAUAGGUUUGAAUUUUACUACUGCAAUUAUGUGAAGGUUUAUAUGCCAGAGAUGUGCUUGUUUUGGUUAAAACAUUUACAGUGCUAGACAAUCACCAAUAGAAAAUAAGUUGCAGAUUCCAAUUGUGUUUUGAUUGUGAUUGUAUUUCAAUGACUAAUAUUAAAUUAAGGUAUUUAAAAUACAUAUUUACAUAAAAUCAUUUAUAAAAUAAAAGUAUCAUAUAAAAUGAUUGAAUUUUUUAUCAGACUACUCAGAACCUGGAUUUGAUUUUCAUUUUUUAAAGGCACAGUCAGUGAGAAACAAUUUUGUACCACUUUAAUGAUGCCCUUUGAUAAAUUUAAAAAAUAUCCCACAUGCUUACUUAAUUCCAAUUUCCCAACAUACCUCAGAAACGUAAGAGUUCAGCUGCAGAAUUGGUGCUACUUUAUGAGCAGCAAUACUGUAAAAAAAAAAAACAAACAACAACUUGCUCAGGUUUUUCCUAAGUAUACGUCUCAAAUCAGAUAGUAUCUUGAGUCAGCUUUCUCUGAAAAUCCAGUGCUUAGGCAGAUACUUGCUUGCAGGAGGUUUACUAAAAGCCUGUUUUGGGUAAUAACAUCUAGGCUGUGAGAGAAGCAGGACUGGUCAGGAAUAGAACUGUGGUAUAGUGACAAAAGAGGACUGAUCAGAGGUUAUAGCCUAGAGUAUAAGUAAUGUAAAACAGGCUAAUGGAGGGAAAUAAUGCUAUCUAGUUGUUGUGAUUUUUCAGUCCAUCUAUAGCAGCAAAAAGUCUUUUUUAUUUUUGCAACCAUAUACUGAACUAGCUCACCCAUUAAGCAGACUCAGCCUUUUCUCUCCUCUAACAGCUGGGACACCCAAUGUAACUUUUUUUUUUUUUUUGAGACUGAGUCUUGCUCUGUCACCAGGCUGGAGUGCAGCAGCAUGAUCUCUGUUCACUGUAACCUCUGCCACCCAGGUUCAAGCGAUUCUCCUGCCUCAUUCUCCUAAGUAGCUGGGACUACAGGCAUGGGCUACCAUGGCCAGAUAAUUUUUGUAUAAGUAGAGAUGGGGUUUCACCAUAUUGGCCAGGAUGGUCUCUAUCUCUUGACCUCAUGAUCCUCCCACCUCAGCCUCCCAAAAUGCUGGUAUUACAGGUGUGAGCCACUACACCUGGCCCCAAUGUAACCUUAGGUUGAGGGAGAGGUAUUAGUGCAAACUUGGAGAUGUGUGCCACCAGGGUAUGCAGCUAAUGUGUGUCCUCUGGCUCUGCUCAGGCCUGAUCCCACAUGUGCUUUCGUUUUACUCUGAGUCGUUGGUUUCCCCCAACUUUUGACUUAGUUGUGCUAAUACAAUGCAGUUCAUGAUGGGUAGCUGCGGCCACAGGGUCACUGAAUAUUCUAUGAUAAAGAUUAUAUUCUUUAUUUUUAGCACACUGGGAUUUAUUCUUUAAAUUUAUUUUCAAUGGCAGAG